UUCUGUUCCAACAGUAACCACCCCCAACUGCUACCACCCAAGAUAAGCAGGUGUGGCUCUGGGCCCCUCAGCAGCAGGCCAGUGGAGAGGUGAGACUAGCAGUGUGUGGCCUGGGACAGGAGUAGAUAAAAGGCAGCCAUGGAAAGAACUAUUCCUUCCAGCCCAGAACACUGUCUCUGAACAGCAAGAUGGCUUUGAAACGCUUUCACAACGAAGGUGUGCUCCACUGGGCACCACAACAUACGGUUCAGACGUUUAAAGCCUGUCUCAGCCCAAUUUCCUCUCCAUUUGCUCCCUGGGUAAGUGGUGGAGUCUAGAAGUCUGAGAUCAGGGCACCAGCCUGGCCGAGUUCUGAUGGCGUCUCGCUUUGUCACCCAGGCUGGAGUGCAGUGGCGCGAUCUCGGUUCACUGCAACAUCUACCUCCCAGGUUCAAGUGAUUCUCCUGCCUUAGCCUCCCGAGUAGCUGGGAUUACAGGCACCCACCACCACAUCCGGCGAAUUUUUUGUAUUUUUAGUAGAGACAGGGUUUCACCAUGUUGGCCAGGAUGGUCUUGAUUUCCUGACCUGGUGAUCUGCCCACCUUGGCCUCCCAAACUGCUGGGAUUGCAGGCGUGAGCCACCGUGCCUGGCCGACCACUGAUCUUUUCACUGUAUCCACAGUGUUGCCUUUUCCAGAAUGUCAUAGAAUUUGAAUCAUACUAUAUGUUGCCCUUUCAGAUGAGUUUCUUUCACUUACUAAUAUUCAUUUGUUUCCUCCAUGUCUUUUGGCUUGAUAAUUCAUUUCUUUUUAUCACUGAAUAAUAUUCCAUUGUCUGAUGUACCACAGUUUAUUUACGCAUUUACCUACUGAAGGAUAUCAGGACAUCUUAGUUGCCUCUGAGUUUUUGGCAAUUAUGAAUAAAACUGCUAUAGAAAGAUGUGUGCAGGUUUUUCUGUGGAUAUAGUUUUCAACUCCUUUGGGUAACUCCAAGGAGUGUGGUCGCUGGAUCAUAUAGUAAGAGUAUGUGUAGUUUUGUAACAAAUAGCCAAAUGUUCUCCAAAGUGGCAUUAGCAUUUUGCUUUCCCACCAGCAAGGAAUAAGAGUUCCUGUUGCUCUGUAUCCUCACCAGCAUUUGGUGGUGUCAGUGUUCUGGAUUUUGGCCAUUGUAAUAAAUGUGUGGUGUUAUCUCAUUGUUGUUUUAAUUUGCAUUUGCCUGAUGACAUACAAUGUGGAACAUCUUUUUAUUGAAGCUAAUGUUUUAAGCCUGGCAAUUUAGUCUCUUCUCUUCCUGUAACCCUGAGCCACUGAGCACAGCUUUCUCCAGAAGCACCUGUGAGUCACUAUACACCACUGCUAUCUCCUGAAUGCUGGAGGCACUGGAGUGGGCCCUUUCAACUUUCAUUUUCUUAUUACCUAGAGAACUUGGCAUUGGUAGAUGCCCAAAAAAUGUAUGUGAGAUGCCUGCACAUUAAAAGACUGGCUGAAAACUUAAGCAGUAUACUGGUUUAGAUCAUUCAUCGCUGUCGGCAAGAGUAAAAAGCUAUGUAGCAGCAU
rnacentral:lncRNA from 1 species